rnacentral:rRNA from 1 species
GACGAACGCUGGCGGCGGGCUUAACACAUGCAAGUCGAACGGAAAGGGCCUGCUUUUGUGGGGUGCUCGAGCGGCGAACGGGUGAGUAACACGUGAGUAACCUGCCCUUGACUUUGGGAUAACUUCAGGAAACUGGGGCUAAUACCGGAUAGGAGCUCCUGCUGCAUGGUGGGGGUUGGAAAGUUUCGGCGGUAGGGGAUGGACUCGCGGCUUAUCAGCUUGUUGGUGGGGGAGUGGCUUACCAAGGCUUUGACGGAUAGCCGGCCUGAGAGGGUGAACGGCCACAAUGGGACUGAGAUACGGCCCAGACUCCUACGGGAGGCAGCGGUGGGGAAUAUUGCACAAUGGGCGGAAGCCUGAUGCAGCAACGCCGCGUGCGGGAUGACGGCCUUCGGGGUGUAAACCGCUUACGCCUGUGACGAAGCGUGAGUGACGGUAAUGGGUAAAGAAGCACCGGCUAACUACGUG